rnacentral:lncRNA from 10 species
CUCAACUCCCACUAGCUUCCUGGGGGGAUAACAUCUCUGACUGUGUGUCACUAUAGUAACAGGUGCCUAAAGUUGGUUUUCAGGAACUAGUAUUACCAGAAAUGGAUCCCAAUCCAGACCACAGGAGAGGCUUCUUGGAUCUCAUGCAAGAAAGAAUCCAGGAUUUACAGACGAGCAACUGAGAUGCAGACAGAUUGAGGAAAUCUCUCAAAGUCACACCGUGAGUUAAAUGGUGGAUCUGAAGUUUAAUUGGAGGCUUAUUGCCUCCUGUGUUUAUCAUCUUGCCACUCUGCACUACUGAUUUUUCUAGAAGAACAUGGUAAGCAUUAAUAAGUUGUAACUAUGACUAUCCCUAUUAUAAACACAAUUUAUUGUCUUUUUUUUUUUCAUUUUCAAGCUUUAAUAUAGCAUUUUUUAAAAUUUUUAUUUUAAGUUCAGGGUUACAAGUGCAGGUAUGUUACUUAGCUAAACUUGUGUCAUGGGGGUUUGCUGUACAGAUUAUUUCAUCACCUAAGCAUUAAGCCUAGUACCCAUUAGUUAUUUUUCCUGAUCCUCUCCCUCCUCUCACCCUCCACCCUCCGAUAGACCCCAGGGUAUGUUGUUACCUUCAGUGUGUCCAUGUGUUCUCAUCAUUUAGCUCCCAUUUAUAAGCGAGAACAUGUAGUAUUUGUUUUCUUGUUCCUGUGUUAGUUUGCUAAGGAUAAUGGCCUCCAGCUUCAUCCAUGUCCCUGCAAAGGACAUGCACUUAUUCUUUUUUAUGGCUGCAUACUACUCUGUUAACAUCUUGAUACCAAAAUUAUAUUAUAAUCACUUAUAUGCCUUUCACUCCUGUGCUUUGAACAUAGUAGGUCCACAAUAUUUGUUUGUGGACUUGAACUGAAAUGACUGCCAUAAAAAAAAGCAAAAACAAACUAACAGAAAUCUAAAAAAUAUACUGUUAAAUUUGGGUUGUGUCAAUUUUUGUGGAUAACUAUUUUUUCUAUGACUCUAGAGCCUUGUCUAGAAUGCAAACUCUGGAAUACUUUAGAAUAUCACCCUCCGUUUGAAUCAUUUCACAGCUCAUUGGCCUCCAAUUCUCUUCUUUCUCAACGCAUCACCAUAAGUCAUUUUUAGAAAGUAAUUCUCACCCUCCAUUCCAGAUUUGCAACUUUUAUUUAUUUACAGGCUUGCAAAUAGUCACCUGCCCAGUGUUCCUGGGGAACAGGCAUCUAUGCUAAAAGGGACAAAGAAUACAGAUAUCCUACAUCUUCUGAACUUGGAAGUGUACAGAUAAGAGGAAUGAGGGUGGACUUACCAGCCUUUUCAAUUGGUUGGGUGACUUUUUACCUAUCAGAGAUUAUAGCCUAGAAAUUCA